rnacentral:rRNA from 1 species
GACGAACCGAGCGAACGUUGUUCGGAAUCACUGGGCUUAAAGGGCGCGUAGGCGGGCUGCCGCGUCCGGGGUGAAAUCCCACGGCUCAACCGUGGAACGGCCCCGGGUACGGGCGGCCUCGAGGGGGGUAGGGGCGUGCGGAACUGUGGGUGGAGCGGUGAAAUGCGUUGAGAUCCACAGGAACUCCGGUGGCGAAGGCGGCACGCUGGACCAUCUCUGACGCUGAGGCGCGAAAGCCAGGGGAGCGAACGGG